CCUACGGGAGGCAGCAGUGGGGAAUAUUGCACAAUGGGGGAAACCCUGAUGCAGCGACGCCGCGUGAGUGAAGAAGUAUUUCGGUAUGUAAAGCUCUAUCAGCAGGGAAGAAAAUGACGGUACCUGACUAAGAAGCCCCGGCUAACUACGUGCCAGCAGCCGCGGUAAUACGUAGGGGGCAAGCGUUAUCCGGAUUUACUGGGUGUAAAGGGAGCGUAGACGGCUUUGCAAGUCUGACGUGAAACUCCGGGGCUCAACUCCGGAACUGCGUUGGAAACUGUAAGGCUUGAGUGCCGGAGAGGUAAGCGGAAUUCCUAGUGUAGCGGUGAAAUGCGUAGAUAUUAGGAGGAACACCAGUGGCGAAGGCGGCUUACUGGACGGCAACUGACGUUGAGGCUCGAAAGCGUGGGGAGCAAACAGGAUU
rnacentral:rRNA from 1 species